rnacentral:rRNA from 1 species
UUAGAUUGAUUUUUUCUAAUGCUUGAAUUAGCUAUUUAAAGGAUAAUUUUAUAUGUAAAUUUUUGUGUGCUAUUUAAUUUAUCUAAAAGAUAAAAUGAAAUUUUAUUUGCAGUUUUUAUUUUUGUAAAUUUUAUAAGUAAAGAUACAGUUAAUUUAUUUAGAAUUGUUUAAUGUUGUGCCAGCAGACGCGGUUAUACAAUUAAUUCAAGUUAAUUUUUUUGGUUAAUAUUUAUUUUUUUUCUUGGGAUUUAAGAUGAAAUUUAUUAGGUGAAAUUUUAAUUUUAUUUAUAAGUUCUUGGUUAAAUAUUAUGUGAAGUUUAAAUUAUAAACUAGGAUUAGAUACCCUAUUA